rnacentral:sRNA from 1 species
GUCUGCACUUGUCGGGGAAGGGUGAGAACCUUCGACUAAGGUUCGAUUCGAGCGAAAGCGAGAGAACGUUGCCAACGGCAACGGCCCGUGGGGUGAGGAGCGAAGCGACGAAUAAUCCUUCCCCCACCACCA